AUUGAACGCUGGCGGCAUGCCUUACACAUGCAAGUCGAACGGUAACAGGUCUUCGGAUGCUGACGAGUGGCGAACGGGUGAGUAAUACAUCGGAACGUGCCUAGUAGUGGGGGAUAACUACUCGAAAGAGUGGCUAAUACCGCAUGAGAUCUACGGAUGAAAGCAGGGGAUCGCAAGCCCUUGUGCUACUAGAGCGGCCGAUGGCAGAUUAGGUAGUUGGUGGGAUAAAAGCUUACCAAGCCGACGAUCUGUAGCUGGUCUGAGAGGACGAUCAGCCACACUGGGACUGAGACACGGCCCAGACUCCUACGGGAGGCAGCAGUGGGGAAUUUUGGACAAUGGGCGAAAGCCUGAUCCAGCAAUGCCGCGUGCAGGAUGAGGGCCUUCGGGUUGUAAACUGCUUUUGUACGGAACGAAAAGCCCCGGGUUAAUACCCUGGGGUCAUGACGGUACCGUAAGAAUAAGCACCGGCUAACUACGUGCCAGCCGCCGCAGUAA
rnacentral:rRNA from 1 species